rnacentral:rRNA from 1 species
GACGAACGCUGGCGGCGUGCUUAACACAUGCAAGUCGAACGGAAAGGCCCUGCUUUUGUGGGGUGCUCGAGUGGCGAACGGGUGAGUAACACGUGAGUAACCUGCCCUUGACUUUGGGAUAACUUCAGGAAACUGGGGCUAAUACCGGAUAGGAGCUCCUGCUGCAUGGUGGGGGUUGGAAAGUUUCGGCGGUUGGGGAUGGACUCGCGGCUUAUCAGCUUGUUGGUGGGGUAGUGGCUUACCAAGGCUUUGACGGGUAGCCGGCCUGAGAGGGUGACCGGACAGUUGGGGAGGGAGAUAAGGCCGGGGCGCGUAUGGGAGGCAGCGGGGGGGAAGAGAACACCAGCGGAGGAGUGAUGACGCGGUAACGCCGGGGGGGGGAGGGGGGGCAGGGGGUGGGAAAGAGAAGCCGUCUGUAACGACGCGCGAGUGACGGGAAUGGGAAAAGAAGCACAGGCGAACUACGUG